rnacentral:rRNA from 1 species
UACGAAGGGGGCUAGCGUUGCUCGGAAUCACUGGGCGUAAAGCGCACGUAGGCGGCUUGUUAAGUCAGGGGUGAAAUCCUGGAGCUCAACUCCAGAACUGCCUUUGAUACUGGCGAGCUUGAGUUCGGGAGAGGUGAGUGGAAUUGCGAGUGUAGAGGUGAAAUUCGUAGAUAUUCGCAAGAACACCAGUGGCGAAGGCGGCUCACUGGCCCGAUACUGACGCUGAGGUGCGAAAGCGUGGGGAGCAAACAGG